GAUGAACGCUGGCGGCGUGCCUAAUACAUGCAAGUCGAGCGAACAGACGAGGAGCUUGCUCCUCUGACGUUAGCGGCGGACGGGUGAGUAACACGUGGAUAACCUACCUAUAAGACUGGGAUAAUUUCGGGAAACCGGAGCUAAUACCGGAUAAUAUAUUGAACCGCAGGGUUCAAUAGUGAAAGACGGUUUUGCUGUCACUUAUAGAUGGAUCCGCGCCGCAUUAGCUAGUUGGUAAGGUAACGGCUUACCAAGGCAACGAUGCGUAGCCGACCUGAGAGGGUGAUCGGCCACACUGGAACUGAGACACGGUCCAGACUCCUACGGGAGGCAGCAGUAGGGAAUCUUCCGCAAUGGGCGAAAGCCUGACGGAGCAACGCCGCGUGAGUGAUGAAGGUCUUCGGAUCGUAAAACUCUGUUAUUAGGGAAGAACAAAUGUGUAAGUAACUAUGCACGUCUUGACGGUACCUAAUCAGAAAGCCACGGCUAACUACGUG
rnacentral:rRNA from 1 species